UUUCAUGGAGAGUUUGAUCCUGGCUCAGGACGAACGCUGGCGGCGUGCCUAAUACAUGCAAGUCGAGCGGACAGAUGG
rnacentral:rRNA from 2 species